rnacentral:rRNA from 1 species
GGCGAGUGGCGAACGGGUGAGUAAUAUAUCGGAACGUACCCAAGAGUGGGGGAUAACGUAGCGAAAGUUACGCUAAUACCGCAUACGAUCUAAGGAUGAAAGCAGGGGACCGCAAGGCCUUGUGCUCCUGGAGCGGCCGAUAUCUGAUUAGCUAGUUGGUAGGGUAAAGGCCUACCAAGGCUACGAUCAGUAGCUGGUCUGAGAGGACGACCAGCCACACUGGAACUGAGACACGGUCCAGACUCCUACGGGAGGCAGCAGUGGGGAAUUUUGGACAAUGGGCGCAAGCCUGAUCCAGCAAUGCCGCGUGAGUGAAGAAGGCCUUCGGGUUGUAAAGCUCUUUUGCCAGGGAAGAAACGGUGGGAGCUAAUAUCUCUCACUAAUGACGGUACCUGAAGAAUAAGCACCGGCUAACUACGUGCCAGCAGCCGCGGUAAUACGUAGGGUGCAAGCGUUAAUCGGAAUUACUGGGCGUAAAGCGUGCGCAGGCGGUUUUGUAAGUCUGAUGUGAAAUCCCCGGGCUCAACCUGGGAAUUGCAUUGGAGA